rnacentral:rRNA from 1 species
UGGGGAAUUUUGCGCAAUGGGGGAAACCCUGACGCAGCAACGCCGCGUGAGUGAUGAAGGCCUUCGGGUCGUAAAGCUCUGUCAGAGGGAAAGAAAUGUGGGGCGCUAAUACCGUUACCACUUGACGGUACCCUCAAAGGAAGCACCGGCUAACUCCGUGCCAGCAGCCGCGGUAAUACGGAGGGUGCGAGCGUUGUUCGGAAUUAUUGGGCGUAAAGCGCGUGUAGGCGGUUUCAUAAGUCUGAUGUGAAAGCCCCGGGCUCAACCUGGGAAGUGCAUUGGAUACUGUGAGACUUGAGUACGGGAGAGGGCAGUGGAAUUCCUAGUGUAGGAGUGAAAUCCGUAGAUAUUAGGAGGAACACCGGUGGCGAAGGCGGCUGCCUGGACCGAUACUGACGCU